rnacentral:rRNA from 1 species
GAUGAACGCUGGCGGCGUGCUUAACACAUGCAAGUCGAACGAAGCAUUUAGGACAGAUUACUUCGGUUUGAAGUUCUUUAUGACUGAGUGGCGGACGGGUGAGUAACGCGUGGGUAACCUGCCUUGUACUGGGGGAUAGCAGCUGGAAACGGCUGGUAAUACCGCAUAAGCGCACAAUGUUGCAUGACAUGGUGUGAAAAACUCCGGUGGUAUAAGAUGGACCCGCGUCUGAUUAGCUAGUUGGUGAGAUAACAGCCCACCAAGGCGACGAUCAGUAGCCGACCUGAGAGGGUGACCGGCCACAUUGGGACUGAGACACGGCCCAGACUCCUACGGGAGGCAGCAGUGGGGAAUAUUGCACAAUGGAGGAAACUCUGAUGCAGCGACGCCGCGUGAGUGGAGAAGUAAUUCGUUAUGUAAAGCUCUAUCAGCAGGGAAGAUAGUGACGGUACCUGACUAAGAAGCUCCGGCUAAAUACGUG